GACGAACGCUGGCGGCGUGCUUAACACAUGCAAGUCGAACGGAAAGGCCCUGCUUUUGUGGGGUGCUCGAGUGGCGAACGGGUGAGUAACACGUGAGUAACCUGCCCUUGACUUUGGGAUAACUUCAGGAAACUGGGGCUAAUACCGGAUAGGAGCUCCUGCUGCAUGGUGGGGGUUGGAAAGUUUCGGCGGUUGGGGAUGGACUCGCGGCUUAUCAGCUUGUUGGUGGGGUAGUGGCUUACCAAGGCUUUGACGGGUAGCCGGCCUGAGAGGGUGACCGGCCACAUGGGGACUGAGAUACGGCCCAGACUCCUACGGGAGGCAGCAGUGGGGAAUAUUGCACAAUGGGCGGAAGCCUGAUGCAGCAACGCCGCGUGCGGGAUGACGGCCUUCGGGUUGUAAACCGUCUUCGCCUGUGACGAAGCGUGAGUGACGGUAAUGGGUAAAGAAGCACCGGCUAACUACGUG
rnacentral:rRNA from 1 species